rnacentral:lncRNA from 1 species
UUUUGUUUGUUUUUUUUAGAAAGUACAGCCAUUUUAAAUGCCAAUUUGGUAGGGGAAAAUUUGUAUUACAAAUAAACAGACAUAUUAGUUGUUAGAGUAAUGAAUAAAUUAUGGUUAAUGUAGGAAUUACUUAUAAUUAGAAAAACAUAUAAAUUAAUCAAAAAGUUACAGUCACAGUGCAUGAAUAAUUUAGGCGCCAAUUUAGCUGGAAGCACAAACUGAGGGGGAAAAGGAAAGAGGUCACCCAAAAAGCAUUAAAAGAAACAGCUGUUGUCCAGAGUUUGCAGUCAGCUGGGAGCAGAAUGGAGCUUCCAGCCAGUCUGGCUCUUCUCUUCACUCAGCUGACCCUGCUGACGCUUUGUUGGUCACUGCAGACUCAGGUUCAUGCUCAACUUCAGGACAAUGAUGAGAACGUUCGCAUAAUGAGUCAUUUGUGUGCAGAAGGGACAGAAACUCAUUAAGUCCCCAUUCUAAUGAGGCCAGGAAGCCAUUAGGAUCUUCAUGCUGACUCACCAGCUCUGCUCUGUGGGUCUCUUCCUCCAGCUCUGUCUGUUCAUUGCUUACACACUCGCUUACACACCCGGCACACUCGACUCACCUUCCCAAAAGCAACCAAAACCAAAGGUUAUGUCAGCCAUCAUUAC